rnacentral:rRNA from 1 species
CACGUAGGGGACGAGCGUUGUCCGGAUUCAUUGGGCGUAAAGCGCGCGUAGGCGGCUCGGAAAGUCGGUCGUGAAAUGCCGGGGCUCAACCCCGGGACUGCGUCCGAUACUCCCGAGCUGGAGGCAGGUAGGGGAGAUCGGAAUUCCUGGUGUAGCGGUGAAAUGCGCAGAUAUCAGGAGGAACACCGGUGGCGAAGGCGGUUCUCUGGGCCUUACCUGACGCUGAGGAGCGAAAGCGUGGGGAGCAAACAGG